AGAAUCAACGCUGGCGGCGUGCCUAACACAUGCAAGUCGCACGAGAAAGGGUAGCAAUACCUGAGUAAAGUGGCGCACGGGUGAGUAACACGUGAAUUAUCUACCUCCGAGUGGGGAAUAACUGAGAGAAAUCUUAGCUAAUACCGCAUAACACUUACGAGUCAAAGCAGCAAUGCGCUUGGAGAGGAGUUCGCGGCCGAUUAGUUAGUUGGCGGGGUAAUGGCCCACCAAGACGAUGAUCGGUAUCCGG
rnacentral:rRNA from 1 species